GUAGGGUACUGCGGAAGGAUCAUUG
rnacentral:rRNA from 1 species